UAUCCUGUCUGAAUAUGGGGGGACCAUCCUCCAAGGCUAAAUACUCCUGACUGACCGAUAGUGAACCAGUACCGUGAGGGAAAGGCGAAAAGAACCCCGGCGAGGGGAGUGAAAAAGAACCUGAAACCGUGUACGUACAAGCAGUGGGAGCACAGAGCAAUCUGUGUGACUGCGUACCUUUUGUAUAAUGGGUCAGCGACUUAUAUUCUGUAGCAAGGUUAACCGAAUAGGGGAGCCGAAGGGAAACCGAGUCUUAACUGGGCGUUAAGUUGCAGGGUAUAGACCCGAAACCCGGUGAUCUAGCCAUGGGCAGGUUGAAGGUUGGGUAACACUAACUGGAGGACCGAACCGACUAAUGUUGAAAAAUUAGCGGAUGACUUGUGGCUGGGGGUGAAAGGCCAAUCAAACCGGGAGAUAGCUGGUUCUCCCCGAAAGCUAUUUAGGUAGCGCCUCGUGAAUUCAUCUCCGGGGGUAGAGCACUGUUUCGGCAAGGGGGUCAUCCCGACUUACCAACCCGAUGCAAACUGCGAAUACCGGAGAAUGUUAUCACGGGAGACACACGGCGGGUGCUAACGUCCGUCGUGAAGAGGGAAACAACCCAGACCGCCAGCUAAGGUCCCAAAGUCAUGGUUAAGUGGGAAACGAUGUGGGAAGGCCCAGACAGCCAGGAUGUUGGCUUAGAAGCAGCCAUCAUUUAAAGAAAGCGUAAUAGCUCACUGGUCGAGUCGGCCUGCGCGGAAGAUGUAACGGGGCUAAACCAUGCACCGAAGCUGCGGCAGCGACGCUGAUGCGUUGUUGGGUAGGGGAGCGUUCUGUAAGCCUGUGAAGGUGUGCUGUGAGGCAUGCUGGAGGUAUCAGAAGUGCGAAUGCUGACAUAAGUAACGAUAAAGCGGGUGAAAAGCCCGCUCGCCGGAAGACCAAGGGUUCCUGUCCAACGUUAAUCGGGGCAGGGUGAGUCGACCCCUAAGGCGAGGCCGAAAGGCGUAGUCGAUGGGAAACAGGUUAAUAUUCCUGUACUUGGUGUUACUGCGAAGGGGGGACGGAGAAGGCUAUGUUGGCCGGGCGACGGUUGUCCCGGUUUAAGCGUGUAGGCUGGUUUUCCAGGCAAAUCCGGAAAAUCAAGGCUGAGGCGUGAUGACGAGGCACUACGGUGCUGAAGCAACAAAUGCCCUGCUUCCAGGAAAAGCCUCUAAGCAUCAGGUAACAUCAAAUCGUACCCCAAACCGACACAGGUGGUCAGGUAGAGAAUACCAAGGCGCUUGAGAGAACUCGGGUGAAGGAACUAGGCAAAAUGGUGCCGUAACUUCGGGAGAAGGCACGCUGAUAUGUAGGUGAAGUCCCUCGCGGAUGGAGCUGAAAUCAGUCGAAGAUACCAGCUGGCUGCAACUGUUUAUUAAAAACACAGCACUGUGCAAACACGAAAGUGGACGUAUACGGUGUGACGCCUGCCCGGUGCCGGAAGGUUAAUUGAUGGGGUUAGCGCAAGCGAAGCUCUUGAUCGAAGCCCCGGUAAACGGCGGCCGUAACUAUAACGGUCCUAAGGUAGCGAAAUUCCUUGUCGGGUAAGUUCCGACCUGCACGAAUGGCGUAAUGAUGGCCAGGCUGUCUCCACCCGAGACUCAGUGAAAUUGAACUCGCUGUGAAGAUGCAGUGUACCCGCGGCAAGACGGAAAGACCCCGUGAACCUUUACUAUAGCUUGACACUGAACAUUGAGCCUUGAUGUGUAGGAUAGGUGGGAGGCUUUGAAGUGUGGACGCCAGUCUGCAUGGAGCCGACCUUGAAAUACCACCCUUUAAUGUUUGAUGUUCUAACGUUGACCCGUAAUCCGGGUUGCGGACAGUGUCUGGUGGGUAGUUUGACUGGGGCGGUCUCCUCCUAAAGAGUAACGGAGGAGCACGAAGGUUGGCUAAUCCUGGUCGGACAUCAGGAGGUUAGUGCAAUGGCAUAAGCCAGCUUGACUGCGAGCGUGACGGCGCGAGCAGGUGCGAAAGCAGGUCAUAGUGAUCCGGUGGUUCUGAAUGGAAGGGCCAUCGCUCAACGGAUAAAAGGUACUCCGGGGAUAACAGGCUGAUACCGCCCAAGAGUUCAUAUCGACGGCGGUGUUUGGCACCUCGAUGUCGGCUCAUCACAUCCUGGGGCUGAAGUAGGUCCCAAGGGUAUGGCUGUUCGCCAUUUAAAGUGGUACGCGAGCUGGGUUUAGAACGUCGUGAGACAGUUCGGUCCCUAUCUGCCGUGGGCGCUGGAGAACUGAGGGGGGCUGCUCCUAGUACGAGAGGACCGGAGUGGACGCAUCACUGGUGUUCGGGUUGUCAUGCCAAUGGCACUGCCCGGUAGCUAAAUGCGGAAGAGAUAAGUGCUGAAAGCAUCUAAGCACGAAACUUGCCCCGAGAUGAGUUCUCCCUGAC
rnacentral:rRNA from 1 species